AUGACGUCACCGACGACGAGAGGUGUUUGUUCUGGAUCCUGGGAAAGAAAGAUCCCGCGCACCUUGACAACCGAAUAAACGAGGUGUACCCCCCUUUUCCUCGUCAGCAGUGUGCUCUGUGAACUAUUAGCUGGGCCUUGGCCAGCGUCUCUAAGGGGACUCUUCUCUGGAUCGGGUAACGGGCCGGCCCACGCGGCAGCUCCCUUUGCUGAAUGAGGCCGGAGAGGAGAUGCACUCUCGUAUAAGGAUCUCCACACAGAGAUACACAUCGAGACUAUUCAAGCCAUCUACUCACUGAUGUUUGAAGAUUAUGAGCGAUUGGCAAAGGCAAUCAACAUCGCUCUCAUCAGUCGAAAGAGAGUUGAAGAAACUUGGGCCCAUGUGAACCUUCAUCAGGUGAACAGCAACAUGUCGGCUAAAGCAAUUUAAUUCAUGAAUGCAUUUGAACGUUUUUAAUAUUGUGAUAGUGAAGUGCAAAAGAAUCCUAACAUUUCCAAAUAAAAAAUCUGAUUUUGAUUUAUCAAGACCAGUCCCCAUGUGCUUUCAUUCAGCAGUAAUAGUAUUCAUAAUAAUCGUCAUCAUCAUCAUUGGAUAACAGUCUCAGAACUUAUUAAGAGGUAACCUUCUAUUAUCAAUAUAAUCAUUCAUUCAGAAGGUUAAACUCAUAGGUUUUAGGCCUGCGGUAGGUUAUAAUAAACAAACAAAUUGCCUGUCAAUUCAUAAACCAUGUGCCGUUGAAUCGGUACAUCGAAAAUCUCUUCCCAACUAUUUUGCAAUCUAUAUGGUCCAGCUGUCAAUUUUUUUGGUCCUUAAAUAAAACUGUUAUAUAUUUAUAUUUUUCACAAUUGUCUUUAACCAAUUUUGGUCUUUUAAUGCACGGCCGGCCGACAGACAAGUUCCUUACUUAAAUUGAAACCAACUUUCUAUUGCUUGUUUUUCUUUUUUUUAUAACGUGGUUUUGGAGAUUUUGUUUUCAAAAUAACCGAAAGUGAUCGCUUGUAAUCUGAAUAAAGGGAAAAAAGCCAUUCUUGAACAUGGGUUGAGACAUUCAUGCUAAUUUGUAAUAAAGCGUGUUUGUAAUUGAGUGUUUUAAUUUCAGUUUUUAGAGGGAGAGAAACAAAAAGCCCACUGUGCCUAUUUUUCGAAAAUCGUUAGUCCACAUGUGAAGUGAAAUUCCCCAUUGUAUUUCCCAAGUUCUAAAAUAACCAGCGACAGUUUUUUGUUGUUGUUGCCUAAUGCAGGACUCUAGUGCCAGAGAAGAGACUGUCAGACUGAAACGCCUCCAUUAAUUUACGAGUAGAUUGUCAAUUUGUGCCACAGUUUAGAUUACAGAUAGAACGCUGAUCUAACUCCCCCUUGUGAUAGUGUGGUGCAAUGACAGAAUGCUACCAUCUACCACUAACGGUCGCAGCAUAAACUCGUAACUUUUAGAGGAAGAACCGCUAUGUUUGAACGUUGUCUCAUGCCGAAUUUCUCCCCUGUGUGAGUUGAUCAGUUUGUUGUGGGAGAUGAAUAUCCACGGUCUCCCAUAGGAUACCCCCCCCCCCAGCCAACGGCGCAGUCUCUGACCAAUUUUUUUUUGAGGCCUUACUAUUGGCUGCAGAGACAAAAUGUUCUAUCUUGCUCCUCUGCACCCCAGUAUCUCUACUUGCACAUUCAUCUUCUGCACAUCUAUCACUCCAGUGUUUAAUUGGUAUAUUGUAAUUACUUUGCCACUAUGGCCUAUUUAUUGCCUUACCCCCCCCCCCCCUUAUCCUACCUCAU